rnacentral:rRNA from 1 species
AUGGAGUUACUACAGAGGCUAGGUUUCUCAUCUAGGUGGAGAGAUUGGAUUGCCCUACUCCUCUCAUCCUCCUCCUCGUCAUGCCUUAUCAAUGGUGACCCUGGCGACUGCGUUAUACAUCAGUGAGGAUUACGGCAAGGAGAUCCCCUCUCGCCGUUGUUGUUCAUUCUUUGCGUCGACCCACUGCACCGUCUUCUCGAGGCAGCCACCAGGACGGACGUACUGAACACCAUCCUAGGCACGGCUGCGCGGAUGCGCACAAGCUUGUACGCCGACGACGCCGUCAUCUUCAUAAACCCAGUACGUCAGGAAAUAGAUAGCCUCUUAGAACUGUUACAGCAGUUUGGCGACGCCACGGGCCUCCGCGUCAACCUCUCCAAAUCCUCGGCAGUACCCAUCAGAUGCGACGACAUAGACAUAGGAGUUGUUCUGUAA